GACGAACCGUAGGAACGUUAUUCGGAAUCACUGGGCUUAAAGGGUGCGUAGGCGGCGCGGAAAGUUGGGUGUGAAAUCCCUCGGCUUAACCGAGGAACUGCGCUCAAAACUACCGUGCUCGAGGGAGACAGAGGUGAGCGGAACUUAGGGUGGAGCGGUGAAAUGCGUUGAUAUCCUAAGGAACACCGGUGGCGAAAGCGGCUCACUGGGUCUCUUCUGACGCUGAGGCACGAAAGCUAGGGGAGCGAACGGG
rnacentral:rRNA from 1 species